AAACGACUCUCGGCAACGGAUAUCUUGGCUCUCGCAUCGAUGAAGAACGUAGCGAAAUGCGAUACUUGGUGUGAAUUGCAGAAUCCCGUGAACCAUCGAGUCUUUGAACGCAAGUUGCGCCCUAAGCCUUCUGGCCGAGGGCACGUCUGCCUGG
rnacentral:rRNA from 1 species